UACGAAGGGUGCAAGCGUUAGUCGGAAUUACUGGGCGUAAAGCGUGCGUAGGUGGUUUCUUAAGUCGGAUGUGAAAGCCCUGGGCUCAACCUGGGAAUGGCACUCGAUACUGGGAAGCUAGAGUGCGGUAGAGGAGGGUGGAAUUCCAGGUGUAGCGGUGAAAUGCGUAGAUAUCUGGAGGAACACCGGUGGCGAAGGCGGCGUCUGGACUGCAACUGACACUGAGGAACGAAGCCAGGGAGCAACGGG
rnacentral:rRNA from 1 species